rnacentral:rRNA from 1 species
UACGUAGGUGGCGAGCGUUGUCCGGAUUUACUGGGCGUAAAGGGCGUGCAGGCGGCCCGUUAAGUGCAUGGUGAAAGCUCCCGGCUCAACUGGGAGAGGUCUGUGUAUACUGGCGGGCUUGAGGGGGGUAGAGGAAAGUGGAAUUCCCGGUGUAGUGGUGAUAUGCGUAGAUAUCGGGAGGAACGCCUGUGCGAAGGCGGCUCGUCUGGGACGUACUGACGGCUGAGACGCGAAAGCGUGGGAGCGAACGGAG